UACGGGAGGCAGCAGUGAGGAAUAUUGCGCAAUGGGGGAAACCCUGACGCAGCGACGCCGCGUGAAUGAUGAAGGCCUUCGGGUCGUAAAAUUCUGUCAGAUGGGAAGAAGUGUAUGUUGCUUAAUACGUGAUAUAUUUGACGGUACCAUCAAAGGAAGCACCGGCUAACUCCGUGCCAGCAGCCGCGGUAAUACGGAGGGUGCAAGCGUUGUUCGGAAUUACUGGGCGUAAAGGGCGCGUAGGCGGCUUGUUAAGUCAGAUGUGAAAGUCCACGGCUCAACCGUGGAAGUGCAUUUGAAACUGGCAGGCUUGAGUAUGGGAGGGGGAAGUGGAAUUCCCGGUGUAGAGGUGAAAUUCGUAGAUAUCGGGAGGAACACCGGUGGCGAAGGCGACUUCCUGGCCCAAUACUGACGCUGAGGUGCGAAAGCGUGGGGAGCAA
rnacentral:rRNA from 1 species